CAACGCCGCGUGAGUGAUGAAGGCCUUCGGGUCGUAAAGCUUUGUGGAGAGGGACGAAUGCUCUGGGGCUAAUACCUUCAGGGGUUGACGGUACCUCUUUAGCAAGCACCGGCUAACCACGUGCCAGCAGCCGCGGUAAUACGUGGGGUGCGAGCGUUGUUCGGAAUUACUGGGCGUAAAGCGCGUGUAGGCUGUUUAGUAAGUCUGAUGUGAAAUCCCUGGGCUUAACCCAGGAACUGCAUUGGAAACUACUAGACUGGAGUCCGGGAGAGGGUCGCGGAAUUCCUGGUGUAGAGGUGAAAUUCGUAGAUAUCAGGAGGAACACCGGUGGCGAAGGCGGCGACCUGGACCGGUACUGACGCUGAGACGCGAAAGCGUGGGGAGCAAACAGGAUUAGAUACCCUGGUAGUCCACGCUGUAAACGAUGAGCGCUAGAUGUCGCGGGUAUUGACCCCUGCGGCGUCGCAGGUAACCCAUUAAGCGCUCCGCCUGGGGAGUACGGCCGCAAGGCUA
rnacentral:rRNA from 1 species